rnacentral:rRNA from 1 species
GACGAACGCUGGCGGCGUGCCUAAUACAUGCAAGUCGAGCGCAGGAAGCUGACGGAACUCUUCGGAGAGAAGGCAGUGGAAUGAGCGGCGGACGGGUGAGUAACACGUAAGGAACCUGCCUCAAGGAUUGGGAUAACUCCGAGAAAUCGGAGCUAAUACCGGAUAGUUCAACGGACCGCAUGGUCCGCUGAUGAAAGGCGCUUCGGCGUCACCUUGAGAUGGCCUUGCGGUGCAUUAGCUAGUUGGGGGGGUAAAGGCCCACCAAGGCGACGAUGGAUAGCCGACCUGAGGGGGUGAUCGGCCACACUGGGACUGAGACGCGGCCCAGACGCCUACGAGAGGCAGCAGUAGGGAAUCUUCCACAAUGGACGAAAGUCGGAUGGAGCAACGCCGCGUGAGUGAUGAAGGUUUUCGGAUCGUAAAACUCUGUUGUAAGGGAAGAACACGUACGAGAGGGAAUGCUCGUACCUUGACGGUACCUUACGAGAAAGCCACGGCUAACUACGUGCCAGCCGCCGCCGUAA